rnacentral:rRNA from 1 species
AAGUUCCGACCUGCACGAAUGGCGUAACGAUGGCGGCGCUGUCUCCACCCGAGACUCAGUGAAAUUGAAAUCGCUGUGAAGAUGCAGUGUAUCCGCGGCUAGACGGAAAGACCCCGUGAACCUUUACUAUAGCUUUGCACUGGACUUUGAAUUUGCUUGUGUAGGAUAGGUGGGAGGCUUUGAAGUGGGGACGCCAGUUCUCAUGGAGCCAUCCUUGAAAUACCACCCUGGCAACUUUGAGGUUCUAACUCAGGUCCGUUAUCCGGAUCGAGGACAGUGUAUGGUGGGU